rnacentral:rRNA from 1 species
CUCUGGGGAAAUCUUCCGGCUUAACCGGAAGGCGUCUCAGGGAUACUGGCAGACUAGGGACCGGGAGAGGUGAGGGGUACUCCAGGGGUAGGAGUGAAAUCCUGUAAUCCUUGGGGGACCACCUGUGGCGAAGGCGCCUCACCAGAACGGCUCCGACAGUGAGGGACGAAAGCUGGGGGAGCAAACCGGAUUAGAUACCCGGGUAGUCCCAGCCGUAAACGAUGUGCAUUAGGUGUAUCGGUGACCACGAGUCACCGAGGUGCCGAAGAGAAAUCGUGAAAUGCACCGCCUGGGAAGUACGGUCGCAAGGCUGAAACUUAAAGGAAUUGGCGGGGGAGCACCACAACAGGUGGAGCCUGCGGUUUAAUCGGACUCAACGCCGGGAAACUCACCAGGUAAGACAGCUGAAUGAUAGUCGGGCUGAAGACUCUACUUGACUAGCUGAGAGGAGGUGCAUGGCCGUCGUCAGUUCGUACUG